AUGUCUGGCCGAAACAACAACGCUACCAAGGGAUCCACGCCGGCCGGGACAGCAACGACGAACCCGAUGAUCUUAGCAGGUUUUGGGGCUGCCGCCGGUCCGCUACGCUUUGGCGCACCACCGGCGUACAUCGCACCAUCCGUCCCACGGGCUGCAGCACCGCCGCCGGCGCCGGCCGUCUUCGGGGCCACCAAUCAACCACCGCCCGCAGCUCCUGCUCGCCGCAACAAAUACAAGCGCAAGGGGGGACGCCAUGAUGGUGCUACCGCCGGUGCUUCCGGUGCCGUCCCUCCGGCUGCGCGACCUCCGCCGUUGUUCCCGCCACCACCGGUUAUCGGCGCCGCCCCUGCAACGCUGACUCAUGAGGCUACCAACUUUGCUCCGGUGGUUGCGGCCUCGACGAACGCCGCUGGACAGGGCCCAAAAGGAAAGAAAACAUGCCUUUGGUGCUUCAAAUGUCGUUCAGAUGAUCAUCUCUCCAAGAACUGCAUGCAACCAAGGCCCAUUGCGUCGCUCGGUGGAUGCGGUCUGGUAAACGCUAUGUUCGUGCAACUACCUGACUCGCUCUUCAAGGAACAUCUAGCACCACCAACACUGCCGACUGCUCUGGUCACGAUCUCCGGUGGUUCUUUGUGCGCUGCUGAGGUGGAUGUAGAGGUCGUUAAGAGCGCCUUGGUCCAGUCAUCUUGGAAUUGGGAAGCCGUGCCGCAUGGAGAUAAUGCUUUCCUAGUUGCAUUCAGUGAAUGGAUAGCUGAGGAGGUCACAUCCGUUCUUCCUUUGCAGCUCUAUGGGUUCACGUCACUGGCGUUCCACCACCUCUCCACCAUUUCCUCGGAGGAGCACUACGUCCCGGAUGUUGACUUUAUCCCACGUAUUUGGGAAAACCAUGAUGAUGGCCAUGAGGACGGCGCUAACCAGGAUGAGGAUAUGCCUGACAGAGAUGCUAGCAAAAGGUCUAAAAACGUCCAAGCUGUUGGUGAAAAUACGACGUCGGAUGCUCAAACUAGUUUGACUGUUCCCAUGAAGUAUGUACAGAGAUCAGUACAGGCAGCGGAUCUGGGCUAUUCGGCCGGCCGACCAGACGUGAAUGUGGCAGCAACGGGUUUGCCCGUGGCCGCCGCUGCUCACGUGAAUGAAGUGGACCAAGCGCGGUCCACGGCUGCGUGUGCCAUACAUGCAGCGGCCGUGGAGGGCCGGCCUAUGGCUCUCGGCUGCAUGCGCCAUGCACCACUCACAGAGACUGGCCUAGCCAACCAUACAAGCAUGGCGCUCAAGGAGACAGAUGUUGCUGCCCCGAUGCAGCAUGCAGCUGCAGCGCAUGCUCCUGCCAGGGAUUCAACGCCGAUAGAGCCGGUCGUGGGUCCUGUCGCGCCACCAGUCGUGUCACCAGCUCGUGCGGUUGUCGCCACGGUUCCACUGGGCUCAACACCUUGUUCAUUCUCGCUGACCGAUGGGACUGUACGGACACCUUCGCCAUCGUUAAAGUCUGCGCCAACGGCUACUCUGUCGACGCUGAUGGGUACUAUGUUUGGAGGCCUGACCACACCCCUUCGCCGUAGUAACUGUCAUUCCCUUGCUGCUGAUGGUUCCUCUGCGACUGACGAGCACUCCCUUGAGAAGGCGAUGCGUCGUCAGGCCUUGAGGAAUUUGGACCCCACGCCAGGUACCUCAUCUGCUCAAUCUUUUCUUUUCUUUCCAGAUACUCGUAUUACUAGUAGCUUAAAGAAUGCUGGCGUAUCUAUGGGAAAGAACGAUAAUGGAAUCAAUCUGUCGGUUGGGGCACUUAAACACUUGGAGAUUGACUGUUUAAAGGUUUCUCCGAAGUGUAAUAACGCCCCACCAAACCCCGAAACAGAGGACAAUGAUGAAGCGGAUGCCAAAUAUGAUGGUGCGCUAAUCUCCCACUUGGUUGCCCCUAAUCUCUCCCCUAAUUUCUCCCCGUUCGAACCGCAACACACCGGCCUGAUCUCCUCCACGUCGCCCAGAUCCCUUCUCCCCCCGCCUCGCACACAGCUCCGUCCCGCUCUCCUCGCCGUCGAGCACCACGGCCGCUCCACCUUUAAGCUCCGCCCUGCCUCUCCAAACCUCAGGGUCUUCUCCACUGAUCGAGCCCCCAUCCUCAUCUACGAUUCAUGCUUUUUUCAUGUCAAAUCGGGUGUGCCAGCGGCUGAAUCGGCUACCAAAGUAGCACCGCCCGGCCGGAGAAGCUGCAAUAGACUGCAAAAUACGGCCGCCACCACCCCAAUUACAAGCGCCCCAUAUUGA
rnacentral:rRNA from 1 species